CUCACGUGGCAGUGGCCGAGCUGACGUGUAGGAUUGAAUCACGUCCUGUAAUUGGGCGGGGGCUGUCCUGUCGGCUGCAGUGUAGGCGAGGGUCAGGGCUUUGAACCUGAUUCACAGCUCUGCCCUGUGUAUUCAGAAGCUCAUUGUCUAUUUCAUUUUCCCUCCCUGUUCAGAGCAUGGUCAGCUUCCUGUUUUGUAGCGCAAUAACAAGUUGGUAGGAUGUGACAAAAUUCACAUGAUGUCAUGACCUUUCAACCCUUCACUCAUAUCCCCCACCACCGUAUCUCCUGAUUCCUCUCAGGUGCAUCUCCUGUGGUUUUCCAGUAUUUUCCACAUUAACAUAGCAUAACAAAAUGACAAGAACGGAGGUGUCAUAGCACUUCACAGCAACAAGUGCUCAGGUUCAACUCCUGGUCGGGACCUUUCUGUGUGGAGCAUGUUUGUAUUUCCUCUCCAUGUCCAUGUGGGUAUCCUCCGGAUACU